UUGCUAGUUAUCGUUGGUGGUUAUCUUCAUACACCAAUUCUAGAAUUCUCGUCUUUUAGUGUCAAUAAAACUGAAAAACUUAUGCAACCCUUUUACGAUGGAUACAUGACAUAUUUGAACCGGUAGAACCUAACGAAGUUUGUACUUGUUUUUGAUGAAAAAUAACAAUCGAUGUAUAAAUUGAAGUGUUUACAAUGUGAUCUGGUGGACGGUGAACAAGUUUAUUGUGUCGUGUUGUCUCCUGUUGUAAGUGGGCGUACCACUGCACGGUGGCGGCUUUCCAUUACCAAAAGGAGUUAAGGUGGCUGAAUGGACUGGAUCUUUCUUGAGCUGAACUGCUUUAGGGAGUAGUAUAAAGUUUGUACGUGAAGAUGUAAUCGACAUUUCCGUGCGGUGGACACUUUUCUAAUGUUUGGUGUUUGCGACGCCUGCUGGAUAUAGAGCUGCCGGAAAGCGACUUAAGGAUUCAUACUUGAUUGAGCGGAGUAAAUACAGCAAAAUGUCGCAGCAAGGAUUCAGACUUCUCGUAUAUCAAUGAGUGCUGCUCGAUUUAACUUUUGAACUUUAGUAUCCAAGUCCGAACAGCGAAUAUUAAAAUAUGAACCGUAUAUCUUGAUAUAGUCAUAUACCACUACUUUUAGUGUCUUUUAUAAAGCUGAAAACUAAUACAAACCUUCCAUGGUGGGUACAUGAAGUGAUUAGAAAAUAAUUUCGGUACACAAUAAAUUAUUUGUAAGGAGUAA
rnacentral:sRNA from 1 species